rnacentral:rRNA from 1 species
CUGAAGGAAGAGAAAGAAAUUCGAUUCCGUAAGUAGCGGCGAGCGAACGCGGAUUAGCCCAAACCAAUAAAGUUUUCUUUAUUGGGGUUGCGGACAUAUCAUAACGGAGAGGUAUCGUAAUUGAAGAGGUUUGGAAAGACCCACCACAGAAGGUAAUAGUCCUGUAUGUUAAACGAGAAUACUUUAGAUAUGAUCCAGAGUACCACGGGACACGUGAAACCCUGUGGGAAGCAGGAGGGACCACCUUCCAAGGCUAAAUACUACCUAGUGACCGAUAGCGUAUAGUACCGUGAGGGAAAGGUGAAAAGAACCCCGGGAGGGGAGUGAAAUAGAACCUGAAACCCUGCACUUA